rnacentral:rRNA from 1 species
GGCUUUUUGUGAAUUAUUUAAAGUUUGGCCUGCCCCCUGAAAUUUUUAAAGGGCCGCAGUAUUUUGACUGUGCUAAGGUAGCAUAAUCAUUAGUUUYUUAAUUAGAAGCUGGAAUGAAGGGUUGGAUAAGAAAAUAACUUUCUAAAUUUAAUUUUUUAUGAAUUUUAUUUUUAAGUAAAAAAGCUUAAGUUAGGUUAAAAGACGAGAAGACCCUAUAGAGUUUAAUUUAAUGAUUAAAUUUAAUUUUUAGAAUUUAAAAUUUUAUUUAAAAUUUAAAUUUAAUUGGGGUGAUUAAAAAAUUGAAUUAACUUUUUUUAUUUAAUUUCAUUAAUUUAUGAAUUUUUGAUCCAUUGAUUAUGAUUAAAAGAAAAAAUUACCUUAGGGAUAACAGCGUAAUUUUUUUUGAGAGUUCAAAUUGAAAAAAAAGAUUGCGACCUCGAUGUUGGAUUAAAAUUUCUUUUUGGUGUAGAGGCUAAAAUAGUAGGUCUGUUCGACCUUUAAAAUUUUACAUGA